UUGACCAUAAGCUUUUAGAAAUGUUCACUUAGUCACGGACAGACGCGCUGGCUGUCUUUCAUUCUCACUGAGGCAGGAGACGCGUGAGGGUCCCCGAUGGAUCCGUAUCUGUCCUCAAGACCACCGCAAGUGAAGAGAGAGAGACUAAAGACUCAGAAGAAAACAUUACAACACAAAAAUGGACAAUUCUAUCUACAGUGCUAACCAGUGGUGUGCAGGGGCUAAGCGACGUUGCUAGGGCAGAAUCGCGGUCCGGAGGCACAGACCGGACUGAAAGAGCACUUUAGCGUCGGCGAUUAAAGGGGCAGGGGCUCGAGCCCCCACUGUGCACGCCACUGGAGCUAACUGUAAAGGGGUUUAUCAUCAUGAAUCUGCCCUGGUCAAACUCAGAGAUUUGAACUUUAUUAAUUAUAUCUUGAUAUUUACACAAAGAGCUCAAAUUAGUCAGAGUGAGAGACUGACAGUUCACUUACAUGAGGACGUCAAGUCCUUUUUCAUAUUUUAACCAUCUUUUGAAGUGUUGACGUAAUCAAACAUGAUUUGUGUAAUUUGAUCAAACAGGAAGACACAAACCAACUUGCACCACAAAACAUCCCAGAAUUCUCCAAAUCCACUGAAAAUUCUUACUGAAAACACCUGAAAAAAUAUCAAGGUUUGACAUGUUAACCAUAGCAACAGUAUUUAAGACAUCAAGAAUCCCUUCACAGUUUUACAUCUGCCAUGUUUUUACAUUAUUCUGAUGAAGUUUUAAGCAAAUGGAGUAAAAAUAAGAGUCUGUUUUCAAAGCAUUUUAAAAAUGGCACACUUCCUGCUGCCAGUUGGUGGCGCUAUAACUUUGAGUCCUAAUAGUCACAUCUAUGUGAUUGGCAUCAUACAACGGACAAAAUUUUGGAAUCGUAUCACACCAAACAAUUUUGGGUGCAAUGCGCAGUCUGUCUUGUGGGUGGCAGUAAUGGGGAAAAAGUAAUUAAUUGUGCAAUAACUUUUAUGUCAAGAGGAAAGACUGCAUGCAGAGACCACGUGCUUCAGAGAGAAGGAGCUUCACAUACUCAUCAGAACUACACCAAGAAAAAAGGAGACAGUAGGUCAUAUGAAGCAGACGCGACUGUGCAAAGACAAAAUCUGGUAAUGUAAACAGCUGGGUUAAUUCCUGUGUUUUCCUGAAAGAUCGCUGCCGUCACACUAUGAGUUUGAGAAACACGUCUGUUCUGAGCUCUAAUGGACUGUAUGUGGGUAACAGAUGACUGACAAAGAGAUCCUGGAGAACACUGUGAAUAGACAAUAUUCUUUUAUACUGGUACAUUUAAUUUAAUUUACAUUUCUGA